AGCCAAGAACUGAACCAAAAUACAAACAACAUAAACUACCACUUGAUGAGAAGAACUUCAAAGUCAAAUUGCAAAAGGUGACUAAAAAAGGGGAGUACUUUCAGCCGUUUUCAAAAUAAUCUAUGAUAUGUACUGGAAAACUUCUAAUAAUCCUUGUCAUUUUACAAGAAAGUAUUUUAUCAGAAGAAUUCGUAGAAGUAGAAUCUGUUUGUCUUCAGUUAAACAAAAGAAGAACCUCAUUGCUUUCCAACUGGGCCCCGGCCAUUUUCCAGUUGAAACAUCAAAUAUUUUAUUUGUGUCUUUCACUGCCAAUUAAAGGGCAACAGAAAUGGUACAGGCUCCCUCUGCAGUGGAAUUACCCUUAUGUCUUUUCUGUCUAUGCUGAUCCACCUGAUCUUGAACUGGUGCUAUUCCAUGGGGAAAAUUGGAACAUGGGGCAAUUAACACUUUCUCCACUUUAUCCCAUCAACAGGAAAUUGAAAUAUAACCAACUAACUCAGGAGACAUCAUGGAAGAUGUCACACAGUGAAUGAUGAUGAAGCAGAAUUUUUAAAAUGUGUAGGAUUACGAGAAGUGGGGUCAUUUUUCUUUGUGUAUGGUAUUGCUGAUGCAGUUUAAUGCUCCAUUACUUCUAAAUUUUCAUCAUAAGCUAGAUUUUCCAGUUGUGGUUUCUAUAAAGAAAAACAAACAUUCUGAAGACAGUUUUUCCAGAUUUAUUCCAGAUAUCGAUGAUUAACUUUUGAAGCUCCUCUGUUGAUUUGAACAUCCGCUGAAGCU
rnacentral:lncRNA from 10 species